CCUACGGGAGGCAGCAGUGAGGAAUAUUGGUCAAUGGGCUUACGCCUGAACCAGCCAAGUCGCGUGAGGGAAGACUGCCCUAUGGGUUGUAAACCUCUUUUGUCAGGGAGCAAUUGGCGCUACGUGUAGCGUUAUCGAGAGUACCUGAAGAAAAAGCAUCGGCUAACUCCGUGCCAGCAGCCGCGGUAAUACGGAGGAUGCGAGCGUUAUCCGGAUUUAGUGGGUUUAAAGGGUGCGCAGGCGGAAGAUCAAGUCAGCGGUAAAAUUGAGAGGCUCAACCUCUUCGAGCCGUUGAAACUGGUGUUCUUGAGUGAGUGAGAAGUAUGCGGAAUGCGUGGUGUAGCGGUGAAAUGCAUAGAUAUCACGCAGAACUCCGAUUGCGAAGGCAGCAUACCGGCGCGCAACUGACGCUCAUGCACGAAAGUGUGGGUAUCGAACAGGAUUAGAUACCCUAGUAGUC
rnacentral:rRNA from 1 species